rnacentral:rRNA from 1 species
GUUUAAGAGACAGCAGUAGCCACGGUAAUACGGAGGGUGCAAGCGUUAAUCGGAAUUACUGGGCGUAAAGCGCACGCAGGCGGUCUGACAAGUCAGAUGUGAAAUCCCCGGGCUUAACCUGGGAACUGCAUUUGAAACUGUCAGGCUGGAGUCUUGUAGAGGGGGGUAGAAUUCCAGGUGUAGCGGUGAAAUGCGUAGAGAUCUGGAGGAAUACCGGUGGCGAAGGCGGCCCCCUGGACAAAGACUGACGCUCAGGUGCGAAAGCGUGGGGAGCAAACAGGAUUAGAGACCCCUGUAGUCCCUGUUUCUUAUAC